GGCGAAGGGAGGAAGAGCGGGGAGGGAACUUGGAAGACCAGACACACUCAGACGGAAGCAGAAGUGUGUGUGGUGAGUGCGUGUCCUGGUGUGGUGAAGAAAUCUGGUGCAUUCGAAGUUGCUUGGAGACCGUGCUGAACACGCAGAGAGCCUCGUCAGCCUCGUCAUUCUCCAAAGCCUUCGCUCCUCCCGUGCUUCCCGUCAAGGUGAAUAGCAUAUGUACGCUUUGCCUGACUUAGCCUGGGAGCAAACGAGGCCUGCCAGCUGCCCAAACUUAAGCCCCGGCCACCUCGCCUCCUCCUCCCACCUCUUCACGGCGCGGAGGGAAGGAGGACAAACCAGAUUAAUGGCCGGAGGGACCGUGGUCUUGGGGAACGUGAAUCUAAUAAUGAACAUCGUGAUGAGGGAGAAGCGGUGUGAAGCUUACCUGUGUGAGGGAUAUGGUCAUUUGGCUCACCAGGUGGAACUUUAUUCAUUUCUGGACGGGAUGACGGUCUGAGCGGCGCCGUAACCUUCUGGCCUUGCAGCGCGGGACUCCCAGACGAAUUUUGAAGGGAGAAGUUUGCCAAUUUCCAGAGUUUGUGAGUGAUGGAAGGAAGGAAGGAAGGGAGGAAGAGUACUCGUUCCAGAGUUCCAGUGUUUUCAGAAAUCUAUUGAUCCAGAGUGUUCAGCGUUACAAAUGUUUUGGUUCCAAGUCUUCUGUCGGCAAAAAAUCGACGAAGCAAUGAGGGAAGCGUCUCACUUCGCCUUCAUCCAACUUGUGUGAUUCCCCGCUACUCUCUCUGCAGCAAUAUGCGGCCAGAAUUUUAACCCCAUCGUCCCCUUUCCCUUGGGCGGCAAAGACGUGACAUUUAUUAAAGCCUUGGAAGUUAUGUGCAGAUAACUUCAUUUAGGCAUUUCUCGACGUUCUCUUAUUAAAGUGGAGGCGUGAAAUGUUGCCCAGACCAACCCUCCACUAGUCUACGGUGGUAGUAAUUUCAUUCAACGUGUAUAUUGUCUUCCAGAUAGAAAUUUUGAAGCUUAGCGGACCGGACACUCGUAGAAAGCUGAGUAAGGGACAGAAAUAGCAUGUCACGGAGAAAAGAAGCUUUGCUAAUGUAGGAAAAGCGUUUUUGUGUGGACGGUGCAGACUCGUGGCGCAGAGGAUGGGUGGAGAAAUGAUAGAAUAAGUAAACUAACACACGUCCACUAAGAAAGACAGUGUCGAGAGCAAGUGCAUUAGGUGAGAUGUGUGUGUACCCAAGAUUGGUCAUUUUGCCGCGGCUCUCACUUCCGUGUUCUUGAUCUGUUUCCUCGCCAUGGGACAGAACGCUAGCUUUGCCGCAGAAUUAUUGUAAACAAGGCUGUCGAUAACAUGUUUAUAUUAACUAGAGGCCAUCUAAGGUUCUCGAGAAGGAAAGGGACAGGCAAAAAUAAACAAAAAAGCAACUAGACAAAUACUGAAAGAGGUAAAGGAAUGAGAGAGAGAGAGAGAGAGAGAGAGAGAGAGAGAGAGAGAGAGAGAGAGAGAGAGAGAGAGAGAGAGAUCAGGAAGAAAGAAGCAAGGAGUGGAGCAAGGAGGAAAAGGACCAGGAGGAGUAGGAGAGUAGGAGAAGGAAGAGGAGGAGGGUGAGGUCAGACGGGAAUCAACCGGCUGUAAAAUGGCGAGAGAGAGACGGAUGCAAGUCGAGACCCAAGACGGCACGGGGCAAUUGGCCGCUUCAUCUUGACUGUCAAAGGUUUGCUAGCGACGAGACAAGACUACCGCCACCUGUGUGUGUGUGUGUGUGUGUGUGUGUGUGUGUGUGUGUGUGUGUGUGUGUGUGUGUGUGACGUCACCUGAAUAAUCAGUAUUGGGGGAAUAAACUUGCACAAUUAAAAGGGAAUUGGGUCUAAUCUGCCUUCCCGUAGCAAUGUGAUGGCGGUCACGUGUUAAUGAUUGACGAG